rnacentral:rRNA from 1 species
UACGAAGGGGGCUAGCGUUGCUCGGAAUCACUGGGCGUAAAGCGCACGUAGGCGGAUUGUUAAGUCGGGGGUGAAAUCCUGGAGCUCAACUCCAGAACUGCCUUCGAUACUGGCGAUCUCGAGUCCGGGAGAGGUGAGUGGAACUCCGAGUGUAGAGGUGAAAUUCGUAGAUAUUCGCAAGAACACCAGUGGCGAAGGCGGCUCACUGGCCCGAUACUGACGCUGAGGCACGAAAGCGUGGGGAGCAAACAGG